UACGUAGGUGGCGAGCGUUAUCCGGAAUUAUUGGGCGUAAAGGGUGCGUAGGCGGCUUAAUAAGUUUGUGGUGAAAUCGUGGGGCUCAACUCCAUCAAGCCACAAAAACUGUCAAGCUAGAGAACAGUAGAGGCAAGUGGAAUUCCAUGUGUAGCGGUAAAAUGCGUAGAUAUAUGGAGGAACACCAGUGGCGAAGGCGGCUUGCUGGACUGUGACUGACGCUGAGGCACGAAAGCGUGGGGAGCAAAUAGGAUUAGAUACCC
rnacentral:rRNA from 1 species